CCUACGUGCGGCAGCAGUGAGGAAUAUUGGUCAAUGGGCGCGAGCCUGAACCAGCCAAGUAGCGUGAAGGAUGACUGCCCUACGGGUUGUAAACUUCUUUUAUAAAGGAAUAAAGUGAGGCACGUGUGCCUUUUUGUAUGUACUUUAUGAAUAAGGAUCGGCUAACUCCGUGCCAGCAGCCGCGGUAAUACGGAGGAUCCGAGCGUUAUCCGGAUUUAUUGGGUUUAAAGGGAGCGUAGAUGGGUUGUUAAGUCAGUUGUGAAAGUUUGCGGCUCAACCGUAAAAUUGCAAUUGAUACUGGCAGUCUUGAGUACAGUUGAGGUAGGCGGAAUUCGUGGUGUAGCGGUGAAAUGCUUAGAUAUUCGGAGGAACACCGGUGGCGAAGGCGGCCAACUGGGCUUUAACUGACGCUGAGGCUCGAAAGUGUGGGGAGCAAACAGGAUUAGAUACCCGGGUAGUC
rnacentral:rRNA from 1 species